rnacentral:rRNA from 1 species
UACGUAGGGUGCGAGCGUUAAUCGGAAUUACUGGGCGUAAAGCGUGCGCAGGCGGUUUGAUAAGACAGAUGUGAAAUCCCCGGGCUUAACCUGGGAACUGCGUUUGUGACUGUCAGACUAGAGUGCGGCAGAGGGGGGUGGAAUUCCACGUGUAGCAGUGAAAUGCGUAGAGAUGUGGAGGAACACCGAUGGCGAAGGCAGCCCCCUGGGUCGACACUGACGCUCAUGCACGAAAGCGUGGGGAGCAAACAGG